AUUGAACGCUGGCGGCAGGCCUAACACAUGCAAGUCGAGCGGAGCGACGGACGGGUGAGUAAUGCCUAGGAAUCUGCCUGGUAGAGAGGGAUAACUUCCGGAAACGGGCGCUAAUACAGCAUACUAUCAGAUGAGCCUCGGUAGGAUUAGCUAGUUGGUGGGGUAAAGGCCUACAAAGGCUACGAUCCGUAACUGGUCUGAGAGGAUGAUCAGUCACACUGGAACUGAGACAUGGUCCAGACUCCUACGGGAGGCAGCAGUGGGGAAUAUUGGACAAUGGGCGAAAGCCUGAUGCAGCCAUGCCGAGUGUGUGAAGAAGGUUUUCGGAGUGUAAAGCACUUUUAGUUGGGAAGCGUUACCAACAGAAUAAGCACCGGCUAACUUCGUGCCAGCAGCCGCGGUAAUAC
rnacentral:rRNA from 1 species